CUGAAAUUAGAAUUGCGUUUAGCUGGGGUUGUCUGCUAGGGCUACAUCCUUUUCACAUCAGCCUGCAUCUGUCUUUCCCAAUUCGUACUUUCCCUUCAGUUGCAGUGCUUGCUUCCUUGUUUUUUUCAUAUUUAUAAUCAGAUCGUUCUGGAAAUCAUCCUCUUAAGUUUGGACACAAUCUGUAUCAGUACAGAAUUGAAGAUAAGAGAGGAAGUUUGGUGCUAUGUAACCUGUCUAUGCUCCUCUGUUUCUGUUCUAAUUAACGUCUUCCAAGUUACAUCACCUUAUCGGCCGGCACGGGACACUAAAGUACGAGGAGAAAAUGGUUUUAUCAGAUGAUCAAUUCCAGGCCUAUGUUGAGGAGAAUGAUGUUGGUAAGAAGAAGUGUAAGUUCUGCGGGCAUCUAUUUGCGUUUCGUACUUCGAUUUCAAGGAUCAAAUGGCACUGGUCAGGUACUAAAGGGCACGGUGCUGCGAUUUGUAGAGAAGUGCCUAAGGAUGUUCAAGAAGCAGCCUUUCUAGCUAUGGAGGGUGUCAACAAAAAAUGUAGAAUUAGAGCUGACUGGUUAAUUAAUGUAGAUAACAAGACAGAUAGAUUAGUGAAGCCUGUUGCGGAAGCUAGCUCUUCUGGUGGCCAUACACCCAACAAAAGUGAUGCUAGAGAAAAUGCGGUACCCACUAGCUCUUCAGAGGUAGCGGGUAAAGCAUUUGAAGAGAAUAAGGAUGCCAUCUUGUCUUGGUUAAUGAAUGAUGAAGUCUUACGCAUUGGCAUUUAUGGGAUGGGAGGUGUGGGUAAAACUUCGCUGGUGAAACAUGUUUACCAUCAACUUAGAAAAACAUCAGGCACUUUUCAUCAUGUUUACUGGAUCACUAUACCUCAAGAUUUUAGCAUUUGUAAAUUGCAGAAUCUUAUUGCUACAUGUCUAGGUAUACAUCUUUCAAAUGAAGACGACGAGAUCCUAAGAGCCCAGGAACUUUCAGAAGCAUUUGUAAUGAAAUGGCAGCAUUUACUCAUUUUGGACAAUCUGUGGGACACUUUUGAUCCAGAGAAGGUGGGAAUUCCUGUCCAAGAGAAGGGAUGCAAGUUGAUUCUUACAACUAGAUCAUUAAAAGUUUGUCGAGGGAUGGGCUGCCUGCAAAAAAUCAAAGUGGAGCCUCUGCCUUGGGAAGAAGCUUGGACUUUGUUUAGAGAGAGAUUUACACAUGAUGUAGUAAUUUCUCCAGAAGUUGAGCAAAUUGCAAAAUCUGUUACAAGGAAAUGUGCUGGUUUACCUUUGGGAAUUAUUACAAUGGCAGAAAGCAUGAGGGGUGUGAGUGACCUGCAUGAGUGGAGGAAUACAUUGGAGAAAUUGAAAAAAUCUAAAGUUAGGGACAUGAAAGAUAAGGUAUUUCCGUCAUUGAGGUUUAGCUAUGACCAGUUAGGUGAUUUAGCACAACAGCAAUGUUUCUUAUACUGUGCGUUAUUUCCAGAAGAUUAUGGGAUUAGCAGGGAGGACUUGAUAGGUUAUUUGAUUGAUGAGGGAAUAAUUGAAGGGAUUGAUAGCAGGCAAGCAGAAUUUGAUGAGGGCCAUACGAUGCUCAAUGAACUUGAAAAUGUCUGUUUGUUGGAAAGUUCUAAUGAUUAUAAUGGUUAUAGAGCUGUCAGGAUGCAUGGCUUGAUUAGGGACAUGGCCUGCCAAAUCCUGCAAAUGAGCUCUCCAAUCAUGGUUGGCGAAGAAUUACGAGAUGUGGAUAAGUGGAAAGAGGUUCUUACAAGAGUGUCCUGGAUAAAUGGUAAAUUCAAAGAAAUUCCUUCUAGCCAUUCACCAAGGUGUCCCAUUCUUUCAACCUUGUUGUUACCCUAUAAUUACACUUUGAGAUUUAUUGCGUAUUCUUUUUUCAAGCAUUUGAACAAGCUCAAGGUUCUUGAUCUGUCCAAGACAAAUAUUGAAUUAUUGCCAGAUUCUGUCUCUGAUUUGGAGAAUCUUAGUGCAUUAUUGCUCAAUGGUUGUGAGCGGCUAAGGCAUGUGCCAUCAUUAAAAAAGCUUAGGCUACUGAAGAGGUUGGAUCUCAGUGAUACCGUUCUUGUAGAUGUGCCUCAAGACAUGGAAUGGCUAUCCAACCUCAGGUAUCUUAAACUCAAUGGAUGUAGUCAAAAGGAGUUUCCUCCUGGAAUAUUACCUCAACUUUAUCGCCUGCAGUUCUUUGCACUAGAUGAUUGGGUGCAGGGACAAUAUGCUCCAGUAACAGUUGAAGGAAAGGAAGUAGCAUGCUUGAGGAAGUUGGAAACUUUGGAAUGCCAUUUUGAAUGUUUCUCUGACUUCAUAGGGUAUCUCAAAUCUUGGGAUGGGACCCUAUCACUAAGUACAUACAAAUUUUUAGUAGGACAAUGGAAUGAUAACAAAGACUAUUUACGUGUAUUGGAAUUUUCUGGAAGAAGUAGAAAAGUAUGUAUAUGUAACUUCAAUAUCAACUGGAAUCGAAGUUCUCCAUUUUUCCCAUGUGACAUUCAAGAACUGUUGAUUUUGAGAUGCACUGAUGCAGGAAGUUUAUGCGACGUCUUAUCAAUACAGUAUGCAAUUGAACUAGAGUGCAUUGAAAUUCAGCUGUGUGAUAGAAUGGAGAGCUUGCUUUCAUCUUCUUGGUUCUGCUCUGCACCAUUACCGCUGCCAUCUGAUGGUAUAUUUUCUCAUCUCAAAGACUUCCAUUGUUAUGGGUGUUCAAGCAUGAAAAAGCUGUUCCCUCUUGCCUUGCUGCGAAACCUAGCAAACCUGGAAAUGAUUUCGGUCGAGGAAUGUCACAAAAUGGAGGAGAUAAUAGCAACAAGGGUAGACUGGGUUGUGGGUGAAGAAAGCAGCAGUAGCUGUAGUUCCAGAGAAUUCGAUCUCCCAAACUUAAGACGUCUCAACUUUGUUUAUUUGCCAAAACUGAAAAGUAUAUGUUGUGCCAAAUUGAUUUGCGGUUCUCUCCAAAAGAUCAGAGUGAGAGAUUGUCCGAAGCUAAAGAGGAUACCAAUCUGCCUUCCCGUGCUUGACAAUGGCCAGCUAUGUCCCCCCCCAUCUCUUGAAGAAAUCGAUGUAGAUCCAAAAGAAUGGUGGGAGUCGGUGGAGUGGGACCAUCCUAACACUAAGGAUGUACUUCUUCCUUUUGUAGUUUUAGGUGAUAGUUCCAGAGUCUCAGACUGCUUGAAGAAGAUGAAGACCAAGGAAGAAACAUAAGAAAAACGUUUUUGAAGAGAAGUUUUACUGGCAAGCCUUUUUUAGUCUUUACUUGUCCUCUUCAUAUAUUUUUCAUACCACCCUUUAUGGCUUUUAACCCCUCUCUUUCUCUCAACGUAAAUCACUCACCCACUUUUUAGGAUCCAAUACCCUUUGAAUGCUGAUGCUGGAUCAAUUUUCACGGAGCACCUACUAUUUCAGAAACCGGUAUAUUGUAGCGUGCAUUUUCCUGUAUUUCAUGCCGUUUCUACUCUCUUUUGUCCCCAAGAAAUACUGUGAUGGUUGUAAUUUCA